CUCGGCCAACUGUAGGGCAGUCCAAACUACAUUUGCAGGGCUGGAGCUGGGUACCAGGAGUCCUACAACCAUGCUUUACAGAAAGUACCCAGCUUGGCCUUUACAGAAGGUGCCCAGCUUGGCUUUGCUGUGUGACUUUGGCCGGUCUCAGCCCCCUCUCUUAGACCCAGGCAACCCAUCUGGAAAACAAGAAGGCUGCAAGUUCCUGCUGCUCUGACAUUCCAACUUCCUUUGGGACCCACCUCAAAGGGGUAGGGGGUACAGAUGAUUUCUGUGUGUUUCUUCUGGAAAAAAAAACAGUGACAGAAACCUGAUGCUAAAAGACUAUGAAUUUGGGGCUUUUGACAGUCAGCAUAAAAACCACUGUGCAGAGAGAAGGAGGAAAUGACAGCUGAGCCUCUGUGUUGCCGUGGAAGAGACAACGGACAUCUUUGGAGUGACACACACAGCAGCUCCAAGUGUCUAUUUUCAUCUCCCCGUGUUUACAGGAAAAAGACAGAGGUGUCAGCAGUUCUCUGUGGAGCAGCUUCAAUCACACCAUAAUUACUGCCAAGAAGGGUGCAGCGGGGAGUGGGAAGACGGGCAAGGAUCUAGGGGUGGCCAGGGGUGGCUGGGGGGAGAGUGGACCAAGCAGAAAGAGGUGGGAACCAAACAGCUACUGUGGCUCAAAUUCUUCUCGUCUGUCCCUGAGGCUGCCAGGUUAGCCGGAAUGAGCAAUUUUGCAGAAUUGAGUGGGAUCCGCCAGCUCAGCUGGGGCCUGGGCUGGAGGUGAGGGCACCUGGACUAAAGGCUCUGGUCCUUUGGGAAAGUAGAAGAAGUGAUUUGGAAGAGGUGGGGCAUAGGGGUUGGCUGGAGCCCAAGGGCUCCCCUCUUAGGUACCAGGGCCAAGGUGAGAAGCAGUUGCCAUGGUGAUGGGAGGCCGGUCAGGGUGGGACUCUAGCCAUCCUCUAUGCUCCUGGUGCCUGGCGGGCCCCAUCCUGGGUGGGCCUCUGGGGCUGAAAACCUUUUUGCUUCACAGGUCUCCCUCCAUUCUCCAUCUGGAAUGUUCCAGAUGGUGGGUGGGCACAUUGGGCAAGUGGGUGACAGCCCUUGUUCCUUCUGGGCCAGAAAGUGGAGGAGUAAGGAGGAAGGGAGACAGGAGGGGAGAGUGGGGUGGGGAAUGGGGAGAAGGAUGUGCAAAGAGGGAAGGGCAAGGGAGGGAAGAGGGGAAGGAGGAGGAAAGGGAGAGACGGAGGAGGAAAGGGAGAGACGGAGGAGGAAAGGGAGAGAGGAAGGAGGAAAGGAAGGCAAGGAGGAGGAGCAAGGCGGGGGCAGGCAGAGGUGAGACGGGCAGGGCUGGGAGGAGAGCAGAGAGGGGAGAGUGGCGGGAGAAGUCUAGGGCCAGAGAGGAGAGAGAGAAAGAGGCUGAGCACAGGGACAUGCGCUGGCUCCUUCCCGGCCUCCCUCGGCUUCCCUCCGGCCUGCCUUGCCCCCCUUCUCCUCCCCACUGAUUUCAUUUACUUCACUUAAUUAGCCCCCCUCCAGAGUUAAAAAGAUAAUGUGAUAAUGACAUGUGAACAGCCACAAUACGGAAAAAGCUACUCCAGCCGCGGCUUCCCCAGCCCCCUGUCCCUGACCCUGAGCGCCGCUGACUAAGCCACCCCAGACCCAGGGCACUGGCGCUGCCCAACUCCCUACCCACCCCCGCCCCCCAGAGAAAAAAAUCAGCCCUUAACGAAUUUCAAUUACGAGCUUUGUAAAAUCAAUACAAAUGACAUUUUCCCCUUGUACACCGAGAUACGGACAAUAGCAUCUUUCUGUUCUGCCCUCAAUAUAAUUGACGAUUAACAGCUUCUCUCAUUACUGUACACUUAAUAAAAACCUUGUCAUGGGGGAAUCCACAGCGCCCUAAUUUA